rnacentral:lncRNA from 1 species
GAUCCCUUCAGCAUACUUUCCAGCAGCAUCACCUGCACAGACCAGUGUGGGCAGUUUGCCUAUGAAUUCCAAGACGUAUUGUCAGCUUGAUGCUUUGGGGAAGGGGGGGUGCAUACUAAAAUGCCUUGAAAGUAUUUCUAAUCACUUCUCAGAAAAGGUGGUUUUCUCUGAGGCCCUCCUACCCCCUUGCACACACCUUAUAAGUAGUAAUUGUUUCUGGAUAUUUUGACCAAUAGUGAAAUAUUCUGAAAAAGGUGGGAUAACUUCCAAGACUUGAGGAUUUUUUUUAAAGAGGCAAAAAUAUGAUCUUUGCAACUGACAAAAUAAUGUGUCCCUGUUCCUGGGAUGCAUUUUUAUCUAGUAUAGGUACCGUAAUCUCUGUGUGUAUGUGGCUAAGGAUUCUGUGGAGAUUUUAGUGCCAAAAUUAACUUUGGAAGUAGUUUGUCAGUGAAAAAGAAAUUAAAAAGUAACUUACUAUUUCUUGUCUGGUUUAAUUUGUCUCCUCUCCUUUCUCCUUUCCUUCUCUUUCUGUUCUUCCGGUGUGCUCAGUGCCUUUUCCCCCCCUCUCUUUCCGCAGUUUUGGGGACAAGUUCCCUUUAGAGUGAUUUUCCUCCCUAGAUUGAAUUUUGAGUUCCAGACGCAUUUUGCUUCCUUCGUUUUUCUGUUCAAAGUAUACUUCUUGCAUUUCCAUGGCCUCACUCUUCAAUCUGGAUCUUUCUCUACUCCUUUGCCUCUCCAGCUUUCUCACUACCAUUCCCCCAGCUCAAUUAACCUCACCGGCCCUGGUUCUCGGAAAGAUUGCCUUCCAUUUUUUGCUUAGCUUCAGCCUCCGUAUCCAUUUACUCCACUUCCACCUUCGUAUCAUCACCCGCCACCCCUCCCACCCGAUCGCCAAGUCCGUCUCCUGGGCUCAGGGGGCCAGUUGCGCGCCCAAGGUCUGAUCCUUUCUUCUUUAGUACUCCCAACUAGCUUUCCCCCGCCCCCGGCCGCCCCACUUCUAUCCCCCCCCCACCCCCCAGCCUCCACCUUUUUCCAAAUCCUUUCUGGCCUCUUCCCAUCCACCCGGCUUCCUCCAGCUGCGUGGUCCAGCAUCUACGUCUCUGCCUUUCCCUGGCUCCGCAGCCAGCCUGGGCAUCGAUCCUGGGCUUUUCGGCACUAUCCUCCAGCCACACCUCUCGGGGUGCUGCUUGCUGCCUCCCAGGCUCCGCUUCGUGAGUCAGGGUAGGAUCGAAACAGCGCGGGUGCAGCCCGGGUCCUCCAGCGUGGGCUGCAGGCGAGCGCGCCAGCGUGCAGGAUGCUGGACCUUGAGCCGCUCAGAGAGGAGGGGUUUGGCGGUGGCUGUGUUCCGGAGCAGAGGCCCUGGUCUGCCUCUGGGCCCCAGUCGCCCUUGUUCUCCACGCCCCGGGUCAGGAGGGAAGGAGAGGGGCCUCUGGUCCCCCUGCAGGUGGGCAAGAAAACCGCUCCGCAGAUGCUGCGCGCUGGUGUUUCUUUCUCGCGUGUCCUGAGCCUGGAGCUGCCAACACCAGAGUCCGAGGCUCCAGUGCAG